rnacentral:rRNA from 1 species
UACGUAGGGGGCAAGCGUUGUCCGGAUUCAUUGGGCGUAAAGAGCGUGUAGGCGGCCAGGUAGGUCGGCUGUGAAAACUGGAGGCUCAACCUUCAGAGGUCGACCGAAACCAUCUGGCUAGAGUCCGGGAGAGGAGAGUGGAAUUCCUGGUGUAGCGGUGAAAUGCGCAGAUAUCAGGAAGAACACCCGUGGCGAAAGCGGCUCUCUGGGCCUUACCUGACGCUCAGGCGCGAAAGCUAGGGGAGCGAACUGG